rnacentral:lncRNA from 1 species
AAUAAUUAUUAUUAAAGUUUUAAAAUUAUUCAUAUUUGACGCACAUACAUGUGCUUCUUUUCGAAUUUUAUUUACGUCCAAACAAGGAACCAAUAUCUGGCAGAAGUCCCACAGAUUCUUUGCACUGGUUACAAUGUUUGGCACAGUACUUCUCUCCAAAUGUGUUUCUGCAUAUGUUGGUUAUGUUAAUGGUUAGGCAGUCAUUACCAAGUAUAUCGCCACAAGUUCCGGCUGAAA